rnacentral:misc_RNA from 1 species
GGAUGGAUCAUUCUAGUUCAACAAACCAACACAAGGAUACUUUUACCCUCACAAACAUACUUUAUUUUUCACUUAAAACGAAAACUUUUGGCGAUGGAUGACUCGACUCUCGUAACGAGGAAGGACGCAGCAAACUGCGAUAAGCAUUAUGACUUGCGAACACUCGUGAAUCACUCGACUUCUGAACGCAAUUGUACUCUUUGACUUGUCUUCGAGUAUGUUUGGUUCGGCAUCUUUUAGAUUUGACAAUAUGUCGAUCAAUGCUCUCAGGCGUUGCCCGUUAGCAUAUUGGAAUCGAAACGAUUGUAUUCUCACACCUUAGUGGUUACUGUGGGGUAAGGAUGCAUCGUGGAUACUUAUGAAUCUGGAUCCGAGCUCAAGCAAGAAUACCCGCUGAAUUUAAGCAUAUAACUAAGCGGAGGAAAAGAAACCAACAGGGAUUCUCAGAGUAGUGGCGAACGAAAUGGGAACAGCCCAAGAUGUGAAUCCAGUUCGCGCUGGAAUUGUGCAUCGUGUCACUGCAAGCAAGAACUUCCGGAUAAGAUGUCAGGAAAGACAUGCCGUAGACGGUGAUAGCCCGGUCUGAGCUGGAAGCUUCAAGCGUACUGUAGUGGCACAAUGAGUCACGCUCUUUGGGAGUAGAGCGCAAAAAGGGUGGUAACCUCCAUCCACGGCUAAAUACUAACGAGAGAUCGAUAGCAAACAAGUACCGUGAGGGAAAGUUGAAAAGCACUUCGAAAGGAGAGUUAAAAUACCUGAAAUCGCCAAAAGGGAAGCGACUGUCUGUGACCCGCUCAUUACGAGGACGAACAUAGCAAAACCUAAUCUCUCGAGGCAGCUAAACCGGCCACGGGGGAGGAAGGAUUAAUGUUCUGUCCCUUUAAUGACACUUGGCAACACUUCGAGCGUCUUUCACACCAGCGGAGCUUGCUCCGUUGGCUGCCAUGGACACUUGGAGUGACGCGUGCCUCUGUAGGUUGCCAAGAGUGGCACAAACAGGCGACCCGUCUUGAAACACGGACCAAGGAGUUAAACAUGUGUGCGAGUGUAAGAGUAACAAACUCCUACGCGCAGUGAAAGCAAUUACGGUAGAUCCCAAUUCAACCGUGGCCGACUAUUAAGUUCGAGCUUGAGCAUAUUUGUUUAGACCCGAAAGAUGGUGACCUAUACCUGAGUUGGGUGAAGCCAGGGGAAACCCUGGUGGAAGCUCGUAGCGAUACUGACGUGCAAAUCGUUCGUCGAACUUGGGCAUAGGGGCGAAAGACUAAUCGAACCGUCUAGUAGCUGGUUCCCUC